rnacentral:rRNA from 1 species
CCUACGGGAGGCAGCCGGGAGGGAUUUUGGUCAAUGGGCGCGAGCCUGGACCCGCCAAGUCGGGUGAGGGGAGACGGUCCUAUGGAAUGUAAACCUCUUUUGUCGGGGAGCAAAAGACGCAGCGCGUGGCGCUCCGAGAGUACCCGAAGAAAAAGCAUCGGCUAACUCCGUGCCAGCAGCCGCGGUAAUACGGAGGAUGCGAGCGUUAUCCGGAUUUAUUGGGUUAAAAGGGUGCGCAGGCGGAAGAUCAAGUCAGCGGUAAAAUUGAGAGGCUCAACCUCGUCGAGCCGUUGAAACUGGUUUUCUUGAGUGAGUGAGAAGUAUGCGGAAUGCGUGGUGUAGCGGUGAAAUGCAUAGAUAUCACGCAGAACUCCGAUUGCGAAGGCAGCAUACCGGCGCUCAACUGACGCUCAUGCACGAAAGUGUGGGUAUCGAACAGGAUUAGAUACCCGUGUAGUC